UAGACGCAGGUCAUCAACCUGCAUCGAUUACGUCCCUGCCCUUUGUACACACCGCCCGUCGCUUCUACCGAUUGGUCGUCCCGGUGAACAAUCGGGAGGCCGUGCUCAUGGUCAGCAAUGGCCGGAGCGCGGUCGAACUUUUGUAAAUUUGGACGACUAGAGGAAGAAGAAGUCGUAACAAGGUUUCCGUAGGUGAACCUGCGGAAGGAUCAUUAGCGUUAAUUGGUCUUGGUGCCAUGCGAAAAACAUGUGGAUCGUGGGCUAUGUGACCCCUCUGUGGGGGGUAUUUUGUCGCGAACUUGGAGAUUUGGCUGAUGGAUAUAUUAUAUAGAUAAACAAAAUACAACUCUUAGCAAUGGAUAUCUUGGUUCCCACAACGAUGAAGAACGCAGCGAAAUGCGAUACGUAAUGCGAAUUGCAGAAUUCAGUGAAUCAUCGAAUCUUUGAACGCAAGUUGCGCUUUCGAGAGCCCU
rnacentral:misc_RNA from 1 species